rnacentral:misc_RNA from 1 species
AAAUGAUCCAUGAACACCAUUAUUGUGAAUUGAGAUCCAAAAUGAAUAAUGUAAGGAAUGUAUGAAUUAUGAUGAAUGUAUAAACUAUACAGAAUUGUGAUUUAGAAAUUUAUACUUUUGCUAAGAACAAAAUUAAAACAUUAUAAAUUAUAAUUGAAAUUUAUAAUGAAAUAAUGAAAUAAGAAGAUAUAUUAAUAUUUAAUGGUACUUAUGUGCCCAUGUAUUGCCUAGACACGUGUGUCAGAUUGGAUAGAUUGGCAUGCCAAUAGGGUAUUAUUUUAGCAGUACUGCGAAAGGCUUUAUGCCUGUGUUCAUGGCUUUUAUGCCCGUAUUCAUGGCUUUUAUGCCCGAUUAUGUGAUAUCAUGGCUUUUGGCCAUACUGACUGCAUACGUGGU